UUUCUUUUCUGGUUUUUCUUUUCUCUUUCCAUUUUUCUUCUCCACCGCACGAACUGUGAGUGAUUGAUUCAUGAUUCUUCUGAAAUUUGAAUAAACUUAAUGAAUAAGUGAAUCAAGGAAAGAGUUAAUGAGUCUGUGAAGUUAAUUUUGGUUAGGGUUUCGUGAUGAUUGAAGAAAGAGGAAUCAGUAAAAUUAGGAUUAGGGUUCUAGAAUGGAUUGAAAAUUUUAUAUCAAAUUGAGAAUGAAAUCAAGUAAUGAUGGGUAUUGGGUGUUAAGUUUAAGGUUGAAUUUUUAGUUAUUGAUUUUCAAUUUAAUUCACAUUGAAGAAUCAGUGAGUUAGGGUUCCAACAUGAACUGGAAAUUUGAUUGGUGAUGAAUACGAUGAAAUUGAAAGAUGAUUUUGUUAAAUUGAGGUUUAGAUUCGUAUAAUAAUUGGAUGAACUCCAUCGAUUAGGGUUCUUAAUAGAAAAGAGAAUUCAUGGUUCACGGGUUUGAAACUUAGUUGAAAAAAAAAAGAAAAUUGACGGUUUAGGGAUAUGAUGGAAUCAAGUUGAAGAUUAAGCAAAGGGUGAAUCAUUUGUUUCAAUUUGGAAUUAAUCUGAGAACCUGUUAUAUGGAUAUUAGGUUACUAGUUUGAGAUGAAGUGUAUGUGAGUUGGAUUAGUAAUAUGAUGGGAUGAAGAUGGGUUUGCGUUUUUGUUGUUGUUGAUUAGCUCAAGAAUAUGGAGGUAAGGCUUUCACGGUUUCUGGUGAUACAGUCGUUUUCUCGAAUUACGCGGAUCAAAGACUCUACAAGCAGAUAAUUGGAGAUUCCUUUGCCAUACCAAUUACUCCAGAUUAUGGUGGACCUGUAGUUCAUUAUGCAGAUGGAGUAUUUGAUUUAGGAUCUCAAAGUUAUGUCACAGUAAGGGAAGAUACCCGUGACAGUAGCAUAAAUCCCACCACGACAAUUGUAUCCAUCACCUUUAAUGGCGAAACUAACCAAGAACCAAAAGUGUUAGUCGGUGGAAAUGACUUCUACGCAUUCCCCCGUCUGGAUUCCAAAGGAGAGCGGCUAGCUUGGAUUGAAUGGGGUCACCCUAACAUGCCAUGGGAUAAAGCACAACUUUGGAGAUAUAAGCCAAAGGAUCUGUGUUGCCGGUGGUGAUCCUAUGCUGGUAGAGUCUCCAUCUGAGCCCAAGUGGUCCUCUAAAGG